UACAGAGGGGGCAAGCGUUAUUCGGAAUUACUGGGCGUAAAGCGUGCGUAGGUGGUGAGUUAAGUCUGUCGUGAAAGCCCCGGGCUCAACCUGGGAAUGGCGAUGGAUACUGGCUCGCUAGAGUGCGGUAGAGGAGAGUGGAAUUCCCGGUGUAGCAGUGAAAUGCGUAGAGAUCGGGAGGAACAUCAGUUGCGAAGGCGGCUCUCUGGACCAGCACUGACACUGAGGCACGAAAGCGUGGGGAGCAAACAGG
rnacentral:rRNA from 1 species